rnacentral:rRNA from 1 species
UGGCGGAGGCCUAACACAUGCAAGUCGAGCGGCAGCACAAGUGAGUUUACUCAUGAGGUGGCGAGCGGCGGACGGGUGAGUAAUGCCUAGGGAUCUGCCCAGUCGAGGGGGAUAACAGUUGGAAACGACUGCUAAUACCGCAUACGCCCUACGGGGGAAAGGAGGGGACCUUUUGGCCUUCCGCGAUUGGAUGAACCUAGGUGGGAUUAGCUAGUUGGUGAGGUAAUGGCUCACCAAGGCGACGAUCCCUAGCUGUUCUGAGAGGAUGAUCAGCCACACUGGGACUGAGACACGGCCCAGACUCCUACGGGAGGCAGCAGUGGGGAAUAUUGCACAAUGGGGGAAACCCUGAUGCAGCCAUGCCGCGUGUGUGAAGAAGGCCUUCGGGUUGUAAAGCACUUUCAGUAGGGAGGAAAGGUGGUAAGUUAAUACCUUGCAGCUGUGACGUUACCUACAGAAGAAGGACCGGCUAACUCCGUGCCAGCAGCCGCGGUAAUACGGAGGGUCCAAGCGUUAAUCGGAAUUACUGGGCGUAAAGCGUGCGCAGGCGGUUUGUUAAGCGAGAUGUGAAAGCCCCGGCUCAACCUGGGAAUUGCAUUUCGAACUGGCAAACUAGAGUCUUGAAGGGGGUAGAAUUCAGGGUAGCGUGAAUGCGUAGAGAUCUGGAGGAUACCGUGGCGAAGCGGCCCUGGCAAAACUGCNUAAGCACAAAGCGGGGGAGCAACAGAUAGUCCU